ACUGCAGUCGAACGAUUAAAGCUCUCUUCGGAGAGUGUAUAGAGUGGCGCACGGGUGAGUAACACGUAAGUAAUCUACCUUCGAGUGGGGAAUAACAGUCGGAAACGACUGCUAAUACCGCAUAAUGCAGCGGCAUCGCAAGAUGACAGUUGUUAAAGGAGCAAUUCGCUUGAAGAGGAGCUUGCGGCAGAUUAGCUAGUUGGUAAGGUAAUGGCUUACCAAGGCUACGAUCUGUAUCCGGUCUAAGAGGACGGUCGGACACACUGACACUGAAUAACGGGUCAGACUCCUACGGGAGGCAGCAGUCGGGAAUUUUGGGCAAUGGGCGAAAGCCUGACCCAGCAACGCCGCGUGAAGGAUGGAGUAUUUCGGUAUGUAAACUUCGAAAGAAUAGGAAGAAUAAAUGACGGUACUAUUUAUAAGGUCCGGCUAACUACGUGCCAGCAGCCGCGGUAAUACGUAGGGACCAAGCGUUGUUCGGAUUUACUGGGCGUAAAGGGCGCGUAGGCGGCAAUUCAAGUCAUCUGUGAAAUCUCCGGGCUUAACUCGGAACGGUCAGAUGAUACUGCUUUGCUAGAGUGCGGAAGGGGCAAUCGGAAUUCUUGGUGUAGCGGUGAAAUGCGUAGAUAUCAAGAGGAACACCUGAGGUGAAGACGGGUUGCUGGGCCGACACUGACGCUGAGUGCGCGAAAGCCAGGGGAGCAAACGGGAUUAGAUACCCCGGUAGUCCUGGCCCUAAACGAUGAAUACUUGGUGUCUGGAAUUAUUAUUGUUCCGGGNGCCGUCGCUAACGUUUUAA
rnacentral:rRNA from 1 species